rnacentral:tRNA from 1 species
GCGUCCAUAGCUCAGAUGGAUAGAGCAGCGGUUUCCUAAACCGUGUGUCAGGGGUUCGACUCCCUUUGGGCGCA